CCCUUAGAUGUCCUGGGCUGCACGCGCGCUACACUGAUGUGUCCAGUAAGCACCUAACCUCUUCCGAAAGGAACGGGUAACCUUUGCAAAGCACAUCGUGAUGGGGAUAGAUUAUUGCAAUUAUUAGUCUUGAACGAGGAAUUCCUAGUAAGCACAAGUCAUCAGCUUGUGUUGAUUACGUCCCUGCCCUUUGUACACACCGCCCGUCGCUCCUACCGAUUGAAUGUUCCGGUGAGCUCUUCGGACUGCGCGGUCUGCAGUCUCUGCGUUCCGUGCGGAAAGUUGCGCAAACCUUAACAUUUAGAGGAAGGAGAAGUCGUAACA
rnacentral:rRNA from 1 species